ensembl:lncRNA
UUUUGCUUGCCUUCUCAGUGGGUAAGUGGAAGAGGAAUUUGGAACUCAUUUUUUGAAAUGAAUGUUAAAUAAAUUACAUUUUAAAAUGGAAUCAUCAUUUUAAAAGUUCUAGUCUUUUCUCUAAAUCUCUAUCUGCCAUAGUACAUUAAUCAUGAAAAGAAAAUACAGACUAUGGGAUCUGUUCAGCUUAUCAAAGUACAUGAUGAUUGAGAGAUUAGAAAUAUUUCCCACAGUAUUUGGGGACUUCAGAAAUGGAAGAAAAGAUAUCCAAAAAAUCUUCCAUUUUUCCAUAUGGCCAUUUUGGUCAUAAUCAUCAUCACUGACUUAUUCCAAAGCUGCCUGCCUGAAUGUCAUAGUCAUGUCAUUUAAAGAUCACUUGAAGAAAAUGGAUUCUGUUAGCAGGAGAAGAGAAGUCUCAGUGCAGCUAUGAAUUGUCAAUAAACAUUUAUCAAAGAUCCAGAGCAACUGUGCAUGUAAAAAAGGCAAAAAAAAAAAAAGCCCCUGCUCUCAAGAAGCUCCCAAUCUAAUGGAGGAGAAAAUAUGCAACUAUGUACAAAAGAGAAAUGCAUAUAUAUACACAUAUUCAUAUAUAUAUAUACACAGGCAUAUAUACACAUAAACACAUAUCUAUAUACAUAUUUAUAUGUAGAAACUCACUUUUUUAAAAACGUUUACCUUCUGUCUGUGGAAGAGUAGAAAGGACUAAGCAUGGGGGGUGGGGGGGGGUUUGCCCAAUGUCACUUAGCUAGAAAGUAUCUGAGGUCAAAUUUGAAUGCAGGACCUCCCAUCUCUAGAUUUGGCUCUCAGUCUGAUGAGCCACCCAGCUGCCUCCUAGAAACUCAUUUUCUAAAAGAAGGCUUUGCCAACCUUAAUGUGUUGGCAAACGUUUUAUUUAGAAAAUGAGUUUCUAGCUAGAAUGUCAAGGAAGCCGAGAAGUGGAGAUGAGGGGGAAGAAUAUCUCUAGCAUGAAAGACAGCCAGUGAAAUUGCCUGUAUUUUGGAGACAGUGUUAAGUAUGGGGAGCAGCAAGGAAGUCAAUAGUCAUCUUCUACUUUUUAAAGAGUUGUCCUCUGCUAGAAAGUUUACCCUCAUUUUCAUUGAGCCCAGAGGGCAAUUUAAUGGUGGCUCUGUGGAUUGAGAACCAGACCUAGAGACUGAGGGUCUUGGAUUCAAAUUUGACCUCAAACACUUCCUAACUGUGACCCUGGGCAAGUCACUUAAUUCCCAUUACCUAACCCUUACUAUUCUUCUGCCUUAGAACCAAUGCAUAGUAUUGAGAUAAGACAGAAGGUUAAAGGUUUAACAAAAUGCUUUAUUUCAAGGAAAAACCUUUCAACAAUUAAAGAUGUCCAAAAUGGAAUGGAUUAUCUCAGAAGUGAGUUAGUUUCUCCUCAUUGAAAGAAAAUGCUAAGUGAUCACUUUCAGGUACAUUUUAGAGAAGAUGAUAGCAUAAGACCCUUGAGAUCAAUCACUAUUCUUUUCAUUUAUCCUUUUGUAUUCAACCUAUACAGUACCUUGCAUAGAGUAGCUGCUUAACAAAUGCCUGUUAGUCUAGACUUUGAUUUGGGAACUUUUCUUUAGGUAUGAGUUAACUGAGAUGACCACUGAAGUCCCUUCAGGUCUUGAGAUUCUGUGAUUCUGUCUGUGGCAUAUUGAGAUUAUCUGCAUUCUUGCUACAAAUGAUACUUGUUUAUUUGUUUCCACAUGUGGAGGCUGCAAUCCAAUUCUCUGCCUGCAAUAAGUAGCAAAGCUAUAGAUUCAUUUGCCACCUACUGGGAACCGGAGCUGGCUGGCUUUGUAACCGAGCACAAGGGGAAC